rnacentral:rRNA from 1 species
UGGGGAAUUUUGCACAAUGGGGGAAACCCUGAUGCAGCGACGCCGCGUGAUUUAGAAGGCCUUCGGGUUGUAAAAAUCUUUUUUAUGGGAUGAAAAUGACAGUACCAUAAGAAUAAGGACCGGCUAAUUACGUGCCAGCAGCCGCGGUAAUACGUAAGGUCCGAGCGUUUUCCGGAAUCAUUGGGCGUAAAGGGUACGUAGGCGGAUAAGCAAGUUAGAAGUGAAAUCCUAUAGCUCAACUAUAGUAAGCUUUUAAAACUGCUCAUCUUGAGGUAUGGAAGGGAAAGUGGAAUUCCUAGUGUAGCGGUGAAAUGCGCAGAUAUUAGGAGGAAUACCGGUGGCGAAGGCGACUUUCUGGCCAUAUACUGACGCUGAGGUACGAAAGCGUGGGUAGCAAACAGG